CGUAGGGUGCGAGCGUUGUCCGGAAUUAUUGGGCGUAAAGAGCUCGUAGGCGGUGUGUCACGUCGGCCGUGAAAACCUGCAGCUUAACUGUGGGCGUGCGGUCGAUACGGGCAUCACUGGAGUUCGGCAGGGGAGACUGGAAUUCCUGGUGUAGCGGUGAAAUGCGCAGAUAUCAGGAGGAACACCGGUGGCGAAGGCGGGUCUCUGGGCCGAUACUGACGCUGAGGAGCGAAAGCGUGGGGAGCGAACAGG
rnacentral:rRNA from 1 species